AUUGGAUCCUCCAGAUACUCUCAACAAGCCGACCAGCCUAAUUAACUCUACAAGAUCACAUUUAUGAUCCUGGGAUGGUAGUUUGUUCUGUCUAGCACAGGUCAGAGAAUGAAACCUAAAAACAGUCUAUGGCUUCUCUGAUUGAACAAUAAAGCACAGUCACAGAGCCCAUGAUAUAAGAAGAAAAACUGAUGUUAAGGAAGGGUAUUGCAAAUGUUUAAAGUCUUCAGAAACUGAAAGAUCUUCAAGAAGACACUCAUCUUCAGCUGCAAAUAGGAUUUUACUGUUGCAUUCAGAACUUGGAAGAAGAUAAUCCUCUGCAGAUCCCAUAAUGUAGAUCUUCAAUAAAUUUAAAGGCAAGGAAAUUAUAAUACCAGCAAG